CAGGGUAUAGCUCAAGUGGUAGAGCACAUGCUUAGCAUGCACAAGGUUCUGGGUUCAAUCCCCAGUACCCCCU
rnacentral:tRNA from 1 species